rnacentral:misc_RNA from 1 species
GAUGAAGAACGUAGCGAAAUGUGAUAAGUAGUGUGAAUUGCAGAAUUCAGUGAAUCAUCGAAUCUUUGAACGCACAUUGCGCCCCUUGGUAUUCCAUGGGGCAUGCCUGUUCGAGCGUCAUUUGUACCUUCAAGCUUUGCUUGGUGUUGGGUGUUUGUCUCGCCUUUGCGUGUAGACUCGCCUUAAAAUAAUUGGCAGCCGGCGUAUUGAUUUCGGAGCGCAGUACAUCUCGCGCUUUGCACUCAUAACGACAGCGUCCAAAAGUACAUUUUACACUCUUGACCUCGGAUCAGGUAGGGAUACCCGCUGAACUUAAGCAUAUCAAUAAGCGGAGGA